ensembl:lncRNA DMBT1L1 deleted in malignant brain tumors 1 like 1 (pseudogene)
GUGCCUCCCCAGGAGCCUGGAUGGAGGUGAGGCUGCUGAACGGCACAGGAAGGUGCUCAGGCCGUGUGGAAGUUCUCGUCCAGGGCACGUGGGGGACCGUGUGUGAUGAUCUCUGGGACCUGGCUGAGGCCACUGUCGUGUGCCGCCAGCUGCAGUGUGGCCAGGCUGUGGCAGCCCCCACAGGGGCCCACUUUCGGGCAGGCUCUGGGAAGAUCUUACUGGAUGACAUGCAGUGUGUGGGCAGUGAGAGCCAUCUGGGUCAAUGCAUGCGUGGGGACCAGGCCAGGCACAACUGUGGGCACCUGGAGGAUGCCAGUGUCAUCUGCACAGGUGCUGGCAAUUCACCAGGUCUCGCUCCAACCACAGAGCCUGAAGCUGUCACUUCAUCAUACACACCAUCAGACUGGAGUGCAGCAGCGUGAACUCAGCUCACUGCAACCUCUGCCUCCCGGGUUCAAGCAGUUCUCUUGCUUCAGCCUCCCGAGCAGCUGGGACUACAGGUCAAGCACUGUUAUUAGCUGUGCCCACCACAAAGCCUGCUGUGCUUCCCUCAACCCCCUUUCCAACAGGUGAUGGAUUAUCUGCAACCAUAGCCACGACAGCCAUGACCCUGCCAUCCACACCCAUGCCCCCAGCAGGUGCCAAGUCUUCAAUCACUUCUCCAACAGCUCCUGAGUCAUUUGCUGCUCCUGGGGCAACAAAACCCACAAUUUAUGGUGCUGAUUCCACAGCUGCUCUGCCUACAGCCCAUGAGAACCUGCUCCCCACAUCAUUGGUGAUAUCAGUGGCUCAACACCCACCGUCUUCUGCACCACCAGAAAAAUCUCGGUGUGGUGGCAUUAUUACCAACUCAUCUGGAGCGAUUAGGAAUCCCCCACAGAAUGAAAUGCAUGACAACAUCACUUGUGUGUGGGAAAUCAAGGCAAAUGCAUCUGAUCAUAUACUGCUGGCAUUUCCACAUCUUGACCUUGACUGCACCAAUGAAUAUUUUGAAAUCCUGGACGGUCCACCAUCCUCAGUAAAGUCAUUGGGGAGGACCUGCUCUGGCUUCCAACACACCUACAUCUCCUCCUCCAGCUCAAUGACCCUCGUGUAUUUCCGAAGCUUCAACAACCUAGGAUAAAACUUCAUUGCUUAUUAUUACUCUGCACCCAAAGAGGCAGUGUUGCAGACCCCACAUCUAAUCACCAUCCCGACAGCAACACCCAGAACAGUAACAGCAAGAGCAGGGGACUGGCCGGAGCUGCAGCUGGUGGGUGGCUCUGGCCGGUGCUCAGGACGCGUGGAGAUUCUCCACCAGGGCGCCUGGGGCACCGUGUGUGAUGACCUGUGGGACCUGAACGAAGCUGAGGUUGUGUGCCGGCAGCUUGGGUGUGGUCGAGCCAUGUCUGCCCUUGGAAAGGCCCACUUUGGCCCCGGCUCAGGAGACAUCUUCCUGGACAACCUCCAGUGCGCUGGUGUGGAGCGCUACCUGGGCCAGUGCACCCACUCGGGCUGGUCAGAGCACAACUGGCCACCACGAGGAUGCCAGUGUCAUCUGCUCAGAUGCUGAAGAAUCACUUGCUAACAGUCCAGAGGGCUGGCCGGAGCUGAGGCUGAUGGGCGGCUCAGGCCGGUGCUUGGGGCGCGUGGAGAUUCUCCACCAGGGUGCCUGGGGCACCGUGUGCGACGACCUGUGGGACCUGAAUGAAGCCAAGGUUGUGUGCCGGCAGUUGGGGUGUGGGCAGGCUGUUUCUGGCCCUGGCGAGGCCCACUUUGGCCCAGGCUCAGGAGACAUCUUCCUGGACAACCUCCAGUGCACUCGGGUAGAGCACUACCUGGGCCAGUGUACCCACUUGGGCUGGUCAGAGCACAACUGUGGCCACCACGAGGAUGCCAGUGUCAUCUGCUCAGAUGCGGAAGACCUACCUCCACCCACACCUCCAGAUUCUUCUACAGCUUCUCAGGAUCACAUAAAAGGAGGAAGUAACUCUUGUGGAGGGGUCAUUUCUAGUCUCUCUGGCUCAUUUUCUAGUCCACAGUAUCCAGAAAACUACCCAACAGAUAUCCAGUGUGUUUGGGAGAUCCACAUGGGUGCAAAAUUUCACAUAGAACUCAUAAUUCCAAGUUUGAAGGUUAUACAGUCCAAAGAUAGACGUCUUUGUCAUCUCCAUUAGAGAUGAGGAGUCUGAGGCUCAGAGAGGAUAACUAAUUUGCCCAAGGCCAACCCAUCUAGAUCUGUCUGAUGUCAAUGACCCAUCUGUUCACCAAUAUGUGGGUCUGUAAAAGAGUCUGCAUGAAGCCCUUCUUCUUGUGCAUGACACACAUCGUGUUACAAACACAGCAAGACUGUAGAAUUCCAUGAUCAUUAGCUCCAGGCAUGCACUGAAUUGCGUUCCAUCAUGACUGUACCACAACCAUGGAUUCAGACAUGCACUAAGCCAAAAAUGCCUCAGGAUAUAUUUGUUGACUAAAACUUUAGGGACACAAUUAGCCACAAUGAGGUUGGAAGAUAUCCUUGGAUGUCCCUAUGACUCCGUUGAAAUCUUCAAUGGUCCCAGGAUUGCCUCGCUCUCCAUGGGGAAGUUCUGUGCCCCUGAAACUGUGAUAUUCUUCUCCUCCUCACACAUCAUGACAGUGGUGUUCCAAAGUGAUUCUAUGAAAACCAACACUGGCUUUUAUGCUCUUUUCAAUGCCAUUCCUCAGGGUGAAAGGGAGUCAGAUGCUGGGGACUGGGCUCCAGAUGUGAUUCCUCCACCCCCAGAUAUCAUUCCUCCAGCCCCUAUACCACAAGGAGGAAGUAACUCUUGUGGAGGAGUGAUUUCAAGUCUCUCAGGUUCCUUCUCCAGCCCUUGGUACCCUACAAACUACCCCACCAACUUGGAGUGCGUCUGGGUGAUACACGUGGCUGAGAAAUUCCACAUAGAACUGAUGAUCCCAAGCCUGAAGCCCUGGACUAGAAUCAGACUCAUAGUGCCAACCAAGAAAGACGAGAUCUCUACCCUCACAGAGUUUAUAUUCUAGAUGAUGAGACAAAUGGUACUCAGAUAAACCAAUGACUCAAUGGACAAUUUCAACUAGUGAUAAAUUGAAAAAUGCUAUGAAGAAAAAAAUAUACAUACAUGAUAAUAGGAUAGAAAAUAAAGAAGGAGAAGACAGCAACAGAUUAGAGGACAUCUAUGGGUGUCCUUACGACUUUAUCGAAGUGUUCGAUGGACAACAGGCUGCCUCACUCUCCAUGGGCAGGUUUUGUGCUGGGACAGAGCUCACGUUCCUUUCUUCUUCAAACAUCAUGACCACAGUGUUCAGAAGCAACGCCAUGAUCACCAACACAGGGUUUUAUGCUCUGUACAACACCGUUCAGCAAGAUGAAAGGGAGAACGGCUUAGGAGAACUGAAGAGAGAUGAGCUACCCACACCUUCUAUGUCUUCCACUGCCUCUCUGCCUUACCUAGGAGCAUCUGCUGCUGUGAGUUACCCAACCUCAGGUGCAGUGACUCACGCCUGUAAUCCCAGCACUUUCGGAAGCUGAGGUGGGCUGAUCACCUGAGGUCAGGAGUUUGAGACCAGCCUGGCCAACAUGGUGAAACCCCGUCUCUACUAAAAAUACAAAAAUUAGCUGGGCUUGGUGGGGCAUGUCUGUAAUCCCAGCUACUCAGGAGGCUGAGGCAGGAAAAUUGCUUGAACCCGGGAGAUGGAGGUUGCAGUGAGCUGAGAUCAUGCCACUGCACUCCAGCCUGAGCAGCAGAGCAAGAUUUCAUCUC